rnacentral:rRNA from 1 species
UUCUUGGGAAGUAAAAAUCGUAACAAGGUCUCCGUAGGUGAACCUGCGGAGGGAUCAUUACACAAAUAUGAAGGCGGGCUGGAACCUCUCGGGGUUACAGCCUUGCUGAAUUAUUCACCCUUGUCUUUUGCGUACUUCUUGUUUCCUUGGUGGGUUCGCCCACCACUAGGACAAACAUAAACCUUUUGUAAUUGCAAUCAGCGUCAGUAACAAAUUAAUAAUUACAACUUUCAACAACGGAUCUCUUGGUUCUGGCAUCGAUGAAGAACGCAGCGAAAUGCGAUAAGUAGUGUGAAUUGCAGAAUUCAGUGAAUCAUCGAAUCUUUGAACGCACAUUGCGCCCUUUGGUAUUCCAAAGGGCAUGCCUGUUCGAGCGUCAUUUGUACCCUCAAGCUUUGCUUGGUGUUGGGCGUCUUGUCUCUAGCUUUGCUGGAGACUCGCCUUAAAGUAAUUGGCAGCCGGCCUACUGGUUUCGGAGCGCAGCACAAGUCGCACUCUCUAUCAGCAAAGGUCUAGCAUCCAUUAAGCCUUUUUUUCAACUUUGACCUCGAUCAGUAGGAUCCCCCCC